UUAGAUAGCUUUGCCACAUAAUACAAUCAUAUACAAUUUCAGAAAUUAAUAUAUGCAAUUACGUAUAGAUGAUAUGAUAUCUAGUUCACACCAACUUUUUUAAGAUGAAUAUAAAUAAAAGGUGCAGUGUUAUAUCUCUAGGAAGAGAGAGUAUCACGAUUUCUUCAAGAAUAAAGAGCAGUCAAUCAUAAUUCAGUACUUGCCAUAAUACACGGUGGUGUCCCUGAACAAUAGGGAGUGAACAAAUAAAUCAUGCAAUUAUACCUUGACAACUGUGUUGAGAAAAUUAUAAAUCAGUCAAUCAUGCAAUUAUAACAUCGUAAGACACUCUUUUAUAAUUUUUUAACAUGUAAUGAAUUAAAUAUGAAUUUUCCUCGUCGUUUUAGUUUACGACGUUUGUACGAAAAUGUUUACAAUUUACUUUUGUGCUAGACAUUAUUUAAGCAUAUUAAAAAUAUAAUUUAUAAAAAAAUUAUAGCAGUGUUUUAUAGUACUUUUUUAAAAUAAAAAAAAUAUAAUUUUUAAUACGGGCCGGCCCGUUUAGCCCGCGGCCCGUGUAGGGCCGGGCUCGGGUAGUAUAUUUCAAGCCCGUUUUGUCAACCGGGCUUUUUGGCCAGCCCGCUAAAGCCCGAAGCUUGCUAGGGCCGGGCCGCCCGUUUUGACAGCUCUAAUCACAGUUUAUGCGUCAGUCUUCCAAAAUCUUGGGUCAGGUGUAAAAAGGAAAAACUGAGGGCGUGCAAAUAGCAAUAUCAGUAUAAUAAUAGCCAUAAAUUGGAAAGUUCCAGUAUGAAGAACUGAUUUUUUACCUCUUUGGUUGGCAUUCACAUGAUAUAUUAACUAUUAUACAAUUUUUUGCACCUGCCAGGACUGAAUCCGAAUUAAUUGGAGACAUUACCGGAGCUGUAUUAAGAAAAUUAAAUCAACAAAGCACAAUUG
rnacentral:lncRNA from 1 species